GCCCCCGUAGCUCAACGGAUAGAGCAAUUCGGUUCUAACGAAAAGGUUGUGGGUUCGAAUCCCGCCGGGGGUACAA
rnacentral:tRNA from 1 species